rnacentral:tRNA from 1 species
GCCCCUAUAGCUUAGUGGUAGAGCGUCAGUCUUGUUAACUGAAGGUCUGUAAUUCGAUCCUGCCUAGGGGCA